UACGUAGGGCGCAAGCGUUAUCCGGAAUUAUUGGGCGUAAAGAGCUCGUAGGCGGUUUGUCGCGUCUGCCGUGAAAGUCCGGGGCUCAACUCCGGAUCUGCGGUGGGUACGGGCAGACUAGAGUGAUGUAGGGGAGACUGGAAUUCCUGGUGUAGCGGUGAAAUGCGCAGAUAUCAGGAGGAACACCGAUGGCGAAGGCAGGUCUCUGGGCAUUAACUGACGCUGAGGAGCGAAAGCCAGGGGAGCGAACGGG
rnacentral:rRNA from 1 species